rnacentral:rRNA from 1 species
UCAAACUAAGGAUUUAUCGGUAACGGAUAGGGAUGCGUGACAUUAGAUAGUAGGCGGGGUAACGGCCCACCUAGUCUACGAUGUCUAGGGGUUCUGAGAGGAAGGUCCCCCACACUGGAACUGAGACACGGUCCAGACUCCUACGGGAGGCAGCAGUGAGGAAUAUUGGUCAAUGGUCGGAAGACUGAACCAGCCAAGUAGCGUGAAGGAUGAAGGUUCUAUGGAUUGUAAACUUCUUUUAUAUAGGAAUAAAACCUCCCACGUGUGGGAGCUUGUAUGUACUAUAUGAAUAAGCAUCGGCUAACUCCGUGCCAGCAGCCGCGGUAAUACGGAGGAUGCGAGCGUUAUCCGGAUUUAUUGGGUUUAAAGGGAGCGUAGACGGGAUGUUAAGUCAGCUGUGAAAGUUUGGGGCUCAACCUUAAAAUUGCAGUUGAUACUGGCGUCCUUGAGUGCGGUUGAGGUAUGUGGAAUUCGUGGUGUAGCGGUGAAAUGCUUAGAUAUCACGAAGAACUCCGAUUGCGAAGGCAGCAUACUAAGCCGCUACUGACGUUGAGGCUCGAAAGUGUGGGUAUCAAACAGGAUUAGAUACCCUGGUAGUCCACACGGUAAACGAUGAAUACUCGCUGUUGGCGAUAUAAUGUCAGCGGCCAAGCGAAAGCAUUAAGUAUUCCACCUGGGGAGUACGCCGGCAACGGUGAAACUCAAAGGAAUUGACGGGGGCCCGCACAAGCGGAGGAACAUGUGGUUUAAUUCGAUGAUACGCGAGGAACCUUACCCGGGCUUAAAUUGCACUGGACAGGCCAAGAGAUUGGUUUUUCUUCGGAUCAGUGUGAAGGUGCUGCAUGGUUGUCGUCAGCUCGUGCCGUGANGUGUCGGCUUAAGUGCCAUAACGAGCGCAACCCUUGCCUUUAGUUACUAACAGGUUAUGCUGAGGACUCUAGAGGGACUGCCAUCGUAAGAUGUGAGGAAGGUGGGGAUGACGUCAAAUCAGCACGGCCCUUACGUCCGGGGCUACACACGUGUUACAAUGGGAGGUACAGAAGGCUGCUACCCGGCGACGGGAUGCCA